rnacentral:rRNA from 1 species
AACGAACGCUGGCGGCAGGCCUAACACAUGCAAGUCGAGCGAGAUCUUCGGGUCUAGCGGCGGACGGGUGAGUAACGCGUGGGAAUAUGCAUCUUGGUACGGAAUAGCCUCGGGAAACUGGGAGUAAUACCGUAUGUGCCCUUUGGGGGAAAGAUUUAUCGCCAAGAGAUUAGCCCGCGUUGGAUUAGGUAGUUGGUGGGGUAAUGGCCUACCAAGCCGACGAUCCAUAGCUGGUUUGAGAGGAUGAUCAGCCACACUGGGACUGAGACACGGCCCAGACUCCUACGGGAGGCAGCAGUGGGGAAUCUUAGACAAUGGGGGCAACCCUGAUCUAGCCAUGCCGCGUGAGUGAUGAAGGCCUUAGGGUCGUAAAGCUCUUUCAGCUGGGAAGAUAAUGACGGUACCAGCAGAAGAAGCCCCGGCUAACUCCGUG